UAAUUUGCAAUAGAGAAGGCGACCCAGACCGUCUAUUUACUUCCGCCACACGCUAAAUACGUAAACUUCCGGUGGAAGUACGCUGGACAGGACACUCUGGUCGCUGGGUCCUACAAGUAAUUUUUGUCUGCUUGCCCUGAGACCACAUAAUAGUGACAAUUCUUCAGAUGAUGAUGAAUGGCUUGAAGAGUGUUAUGUAAAUUUUAUUUGCUCUCCGGAUAUUGACUUCUCCACUUACAGCCUAGUGAUGUGACCGCAGGCAUGUUACAGUUGUGGAGAAGAUGAACACCAGAUCUGUAGAUGACGUUGCUAAUAAACCCCAAACAGAGAGACAUGACAGCACUCAUGAUGGUGACAGACCCGAAGAACAUACCGACCACACAUACUCUUCAUCUUGUCAUGGAAUGGAAAAUGAAAUUCCAUACUCGGCACUGAGUCCCAAUACCCUGAUGCUUAAGAAGAAGAUAAGACGACUACAUCGCAAAGCCCAGAGACAGAAGCAGAAGAUAAAGACUAUGAAGAGGCUGAUUAAGCAGUUACGAUCCUGCAGUUAAACAAUGCCUAGUGGAUUAAAAUCACCUGAAUACAGCGUUUGCACCCCGGUAACUGAAUUAUAAAAAGGUGUGUGCUAGAAAAGAAAACAUCACCACUACAUACAGCAUCUCCUAAAUCGCUUUAUAGAUAAGCACCUGAACGACCAAAACAUACAGGGAUAUAGAAUGUAAUACUGACAUAUAAUCACACACAUAGGUUGGACUUGUGUCGUUUUUCAACCUCACCUACUAUGUAACUUUAUAGGGCUUGGAUGUUUGAUUUUAAUACAAUUUGAGUCAAUAA